GGUCCGGCCCCCCGCAAACCUCCGAGCGGCCAGUGAUCUCACAGCCGGCUUCUCUUCAGCUUCAGCCUGCGCGCCGCCAUCGCCGUCAUGCUAGGCGCCACUCUUCGCCACUGCGCCGUAGCAGCGGCCGCGGCCGCCCGGGCCAGCCCUCGAGGCCUCCUGCACCCUGCCUUGGCCCCCGGCCCCGCCGCCGCUAUCCAGUCAGUUCGCUGCUACUCCCAUGGGUCACAUGAGACAGAUGAGGAAUUUGAUGCUCGUUGGGUGACAUACUUCAACAAGCCAGAUAUCGAUGCCUGGGAAUUGCGUAAAGGGAUGAACACACUUGUUGGCUAUGAUCUGGUUCCAGAACCCAAAAUCAUUGAUGCUGCUUUGCGGGCAUGCAGACGGUUAAAUGAUUUUGCUAGUGCUGUUCGCAUUCUAGAAGUUGUUAAGGACAAAGCAGGACCUCAUAAGGAAAUCUACCCUUAUGUCAUCCAGGAACUUAGACCCACUUUAAAUGAACUGGGAAUCUCCACUCCAGAGGAACUGGGCCUUGACAAAGUGUAAACCCAAUGGGUAAGCAGCAUACCACUGAAUAAGGCAGGAAAGAAUCCAGGGAGGGAUGGGCUUCCCAAGGAUUUACUGAUUAUGUUACUUGAGUAAACAAUCACCUGGAAAUACUGAUGAUAACAUAUUACCUUAUUUGAACAAGUUUUCCUUUAUUGAAUACCAAACUAUAUAAUAAAUAAAAAUGGCUUUAAUAAAAAUGACUUUGAACUGAAAA